GGCAAGACGGAAAGACCCCGUGAACCUUUACUAUAGCUUGACACUGAACAUUGAGCCUUGAUGUGUAGGAUAGGUGGGAGGCUUUGAAGCGUGGACGCCAGUCUGCGUGGAGCCGACCUUGAAAUACCACCCUUUAAUGUUUGAUGUUCUAACGUGGAUCCGUAAUCCGGGUUGCGGACAGUGUCUGGUGGGUAGUUUGACUGGGGCGGUCUCCUCCUAAAGAGUAACGGAGGAGCACGAAGGUUGGCUAAUCCUGGUCGGACAUCAGGAGGUUAGUGCAAUGGCAUAAGCCAGCUUGACUGCGAGCGUGACGGCGCGAGCAGGUGCGAAAGCAGGUCAUAGUGAUCCGGUGGUUCUGAAUGGAAGGGCCAUCGCUCAACGGAUAAAAGGUACUCCGGGGAUAACAGGCUGAUACCGCCCAAGAGUUCAUAUCGACGGCGGUGUUUGGCACCUCGAUGUCGGCUCAUCACAUCCUGGGGCUGAAGUAGGUCCCAAGGGUAUGGCUGUUCGCCAUUUAAAGUGGUACGCGAGCUGGGUUUAGAACGUCGUGAGACAGUUCGGUCCCUAUCUGCCGUGGGCGCUGGAGAACUGAGGGGGGCUGCUCCUAGUACGAGAGGACCGGAGUGGACGCAUCACUGGUGUUCGGGUUGUCAUGCCAAUGGCACUGCCCGGUAGCUAAAUGCGGAAGAGAUAAGUGCUGAAAGCAUCUAAGCACGAAACUUGCCCCGAGAUGAGUUCUCCCUGAGACUUAGAGUCUCCUGAAGGAACGUUGAAGACGACGACGUUGAUAGGCCGGGUGUGUAAGCGCAGCGAUGCGUUGAGCUAACCGGUACUAAUGAACCGUGAGGCUUAACCUU
rnacentral:rRNA from 1 species